rnacentral:rRNA from 1 species
UACGUAGGGUGCAAGCGUUGUCCGGAAUUAUUGGGCGUAAAGAGCUCGUAGGCGGUCUGUCGCGUCGGAUGUGAAACCUCGGGGCUCAACCCCGAGCCUGCAUUCGAUACGGGCAGACUAGAGUGCGGUAGGGGAGACUGGAAUUCCUGGUGUAGCGGUGAAAUGCGCAGAUAUCAGGAGGAACACCGGUGGCGAAGGCGGCGCUCUGGGCCGGUACUGACGCUGAGGAGCGAAAGCGUGGGUAGCAAACAGG